UACGAGAGGCCCAAACGUUAUUCGGAAUUAUUGGGCGUAAAGAGCUCGUAGGCGGUUUGUCACGUCUGCUGUGAAAUCCCGAGGCUCAACCUCGGGCCUGCAGUGGGUACGGGCAGACUGGAGUGCGGUAGGGGAGAAUGGAAUUCCUGGUGUAGCGGUGGAAUGCGCAGAUAUCAGGAGGAACACCAAUAGCGAAGGCAGCUCGCUGGGACGGUACUGACACUAAGGCGCGAAAGCGUGGGGAGCAAACAGG
rnacentral:rRNA from 1 species